GCGUGCGGGAUGACGGCCUUCGGGUUGUAAACUCCUUUUGGGGGGGACGAUGAUGACGGUACCCCCCGAAGAAGCCCCGGCUAACUCCGUGCCAGCAGCCGCGGUAAUACGGAGGGGGCAAGCGUUGUCCGGACUUACUGGGCGUAAAGGGUGCGCAGGCGGCUGUGUGCGUCGGCGCUGAAAGCGCCGGGCUCAACCCGGCGAGGCGUGCCGAUACGACGCAGCU
rnacentral:rRNA from 1 species